CCGAGUUUACAACUCCCAAACCCCUGUGAACAUACCUAUCGUUGCUUCGGCGGAGUCGUCCCGGCGUCCCCCUCUCCGGAGGAGGGCCCGGACCCAGGCGCCCGCCGGAGGACCCAAACUCUUGUUUCAUUUUGAGUAUCUUCUGAGUAAAACAAGCAAAUAAAUCA
rnacentral:misc_RNA from 1 species